rnacentral:rRNA from 1 species
UACGUAGGGUGCGAGCGUUUGUCCGGAAUUAUUGGGCGUAAAGAGCUCGUAGGCGGUGUGUCACGUCGGCCGUGAAAACCUGCAGCUUAACUGUGGGCGUGCGGUCGAUACGGGCAUCACUGGAGUUCGGCAGGGGAGACUGGGAAUUCCUGGUGUAGCGGUGAAAUGCGCAGAUAUCAGGAGGAACACCGGUGGCGAAGGCGGGUCUCUGGGCCGAUACUGACGCUGGAGGAGCGAAAGCGUGGGGAGCAAACAGG